rnacentral:rRNA from 1 species
GACGAACGCUGGCGGCGUGCUUAACACAUGCAAGUCGAGCGGUAAGGCCCUUUCGGGGGUACACGAGCGGCGAACGGGUGAGUAACACGUGGGUGACCUGCCCUUAGCUCUGGGAUAAGCCUGGGGAAACUGGGUCUAAAUACCGGAUAUGACUCCAUGACGCAUUGUUGUGGGGUGGAAAGCCUUGUGCGGCUAGGGAUGGGCCCGCGGCCUAUCAGCGUUGUUGGUGGGUGAUGGCCUACCAAGGCGACGACGGGUAGCCGGCCUGAGAGGGCGACCGGCCACACUGGGACUGAGACACGGCCCAGACUCCUACGGGAGGCAGCAGUGGGGAAUCUUGCGCAAUGGCGAAAGCCUGACGCAGCGACGCCGCGU